ACUCCUACGGGAGGCAGCAGUGGGGAAUAUUGCACAAUGGGCGCAAGCCUGAUGCAGCCAUGCCGCGUGUAUGAAGAAGGCCUUCGGGUUGUAAAGUACUUUCAGCGGGGAGGAAGGGGAUAAGGUUAAUAACCUUGUCAAUUGACGUUACCCGCACAAGAAGCACCGGCUAACUCCGUGCCAGCAGCCGCGGUAAUACGGAGGGUGCAAGCGU
rnacentral:rRNA from 1 species